UCGGCUCCCUCCGCCCAGGAGCUGCAGACUAGAAGGCCUCUCAGAUCCAAGGGCAUGCCCCUCCCGGCUCUCCUAAAUUCCUGACCAGGUUACAUUCCCGUCCGGCUUCACCUCGGAGCUGGAGAAACCCGCGGGCAGGGAGCACGGGGCCACCUCGAGAACGUCUACGGUCCUGCACCGAGGAGGAGGGGGGGCAGCGCCGACGACAGACCCGGAAAUCAGCGCGGGCCCUGCUCCCCCAUGCUCCCCGCUCUGCGGCGCAAGCAGACGCGCACAUUCUUUUCAAAUGUCAUAUUUCCUUUGAUCCUGGGCAGUGUUUCUCCAUGUGUCUGGCUCAGCUUCUGCCCAGCCAACCGCCUCCCCACCCACCCCGCUUUGUUUUCCUGGAGAACCCUCCCCCUUCCCUCGUCUGGAAGGCCGCGAGGGUUGACUUCGGAUCCCUUUCCCCUCUCCUCCCAGUGACUCAAUUUCCCCGCUGUGGUGUUGCAAAAGAAAGGAGGCAGAAGAGAGAGCCGUUUGGCGCAAGUAAAGUAUUAAUGUAAAGAUUGCUCAAAAAGGCAAACUUUCGGAUUAGGGCAUACCCUGCUCCAAACUCUCCAGUCUGCCUAGGCUUCGGCAAGGGGUGGAACCUAUGACCCCUGACUUGUCCUGCCUCGCUUUAGAGGCCAAGGGCUGGUAGUUAAGUUUAGAUUGCCCUACACUUCAGCCCCCAGGCGACCACAAAGCCCAGCUUGGCAAGUUUCCCCGCCACCUUGUCUACCGCAGCCUCUCUGCCCCCUCCGGAUUGGGCGCACCUGAAUGAAGUUGACUUUGUUUUUGUCUUGUGCAGUCUGUUCAGUACGUUUGUUCUAUACACUUUCUCCUGUGGUACAGACUGUCUUGGAACUCCUAAUCCACUCCCAAGUGCCAUCCCCAGUUUUUGUUCUGUAUUCUAAUUGAUAUUAUUCGACAGAUUUGGAGGUGGACCUUAACUUUCUUUUUUAAUUACAUAAAAUGCGUUCAUGGAUUCUCUUGUAAAUGAUCCAAAUCAGACAAAAUAUGUGGUCAACUCUGAUAGUCCAGUUUUGUAUCCUUUUAAUAUAUAUGCUUGUAUGCAAACAUAUGCAUGAGGUCGUGAUAAACAUACUUUUUCUCUU